GAUGAACGCUGGCGGCGUGCUUAACACAUGCAAGUCGAGCGAGAAGUUUUGAAAAGAUUCUUCGGGUGAAAUUUAAAAUGGAAAGCGGCGGACGGGUGAGUAACGCGUAGGCAACCUGCCCCAUACAAAGGGAUAGCAUUUGGAAACGAAUAUUAAUACCUUAUGAAACUUAACUAGUGCAUGCUAGGUAGGUCAAAGAUUUAUCGGUAUGGGAUGGGCCUGCGUCUGAUUAGCUAGUUGGUGAGGUAACGGCUCACCAAGGCGACGAUCAGUAGCCGACCUGAGAGGGUGAACGGCCACAUUGGAACUGAGACACGGUCCAAACUCCUACGGGAGGCAGCAGUGGGGAAUAUUGCACAAUGGGGGAAACCCUGAUGCAGCAACGCCGCGUGAACGAUGAAGGCCUUUGGGUCGUAAAGUUCUGUUCUAGGUGAUGAAAACUGACAGUAACCUAGGAGAAAGCCCCGGCUAACUCCGUG
rnacentral:rRNA from 1 species